CUGGCCGCCCUGAAGUUUGUGGCCUCAGCUUCCUUUCCCCCUCAUCAUCCUGCUCCUCAGCCAGGUGUCAGGGGUUCGUGUGCUGCCCUGACCUGAGUGCCAUCGUGGUUUGUGAAAUCCAGCAAGAAGGAGGAAUAAAGCACCCUGCAGGAGGAGCGGAUGCCUCAGACCAGUGAUGGGCCUCCCUGCAGCAGUGGGGAAAGGACCGUGGAACAGCCCAGAGCAGCAUGGAUGAGGGCUGAGGCCGCGCCCAGAGCAGCAUGGGUGAGGGCUGAGGCCAUGCCUGGACACCUCUAGCUCUGCAAAAUAGUUUGUUCAGAGGCAGAGAGAAAAUUGUAGUCAGCUCUUAGAGAGAACAGGCUUCAGUCAUUGCUACCUAAACCAACAAAAGAACUAACAAAAAACUACACCUCGAGCCUUAGGACAACAUUGGAAACCCAGAGAAGAAGAGGGUGAACUUUAAACAAGUGUCGUUCUGGAGUCAAGUCAGGAACUGAGGAAUAUGUUUCCAAAAACCCGGAGGAACCUCUUAUUUCAGCAAAUGCUUGGGAGAGGAGGAGCAAGAACACUUUGAAAAGUAAGGCUAAGUUUUGCAGCCCCAGAAUAAUCUUCACAAAAAUUAUUACGAGGAAGCAAGGACAAUGGAAAUGAAGCCACAGGAAGGAGUCGGGCUCUGUCCCUGUUCGCAGAGAGCCAGCGAGGGCUGCCAUGCAGGACUUCACACACCUGGGAAGGCUGGGUCUUGUGUUUUGCUUUGUUUCUUCUUAGAGAACGAGAAAGUGCCUCCCAAAGGAGACAGUCCAUAAACAACACCCACAAUGGCAACCUAAAAUGUCUUGGGCUACCGUUGGGUUGGAGAAACAUGGAGAAAAGAGAAAGGGGCUUUAAGGAAUUGCAGAGUACUCAAUUUUGCUGGGAGUUGCUGAUUCUAAAUGUGGGUUCCAUUCACAGCAGCAGAGGCCACAAAAGAGAAUCCACAUACAAUCCAGCACGGGGGCCAGGAACCUUGAAUGCACGGGCUGCAUGCGAUAACACCAAGGCAAGUCUAGUGAAGGCUGGAGGUGUCCCCCUGCCAAUUCCGUGUUGUAUUGUCAGAGGAGUGGGCACUCCAGAUGCCGCUUUUCCAGAGGGAAGGCAGCCUGCCAAGACAGACCUCUUCCCAGAACAUGGGGACUCCAGCAUCCCAAUCCGUGAAUAGGAUGUGUCUUUUCACUGAGUAGUAAAUCUCCAGGGUGGAGCCUUGUCAAGCGGUGUGUUUUCCAUGGCACCCUAGAACAGCUGAGCCAGAAAGCUGCUCUGUGGUGAAUCUCCUUGAAUUUCUCAUCUGCCGUCUUCCUCCACCCACCACACGCUGUCCACUGCAGCCUGUUAACUGAAGGACACGUCAGAAGUGGGCUGCCUCCUAGAAACUCGGCUUUUCCUUAGAAAGCAGUUGUUUGCAUUGUGGGUUGAUCCAGUGGACACAUUUUGGGUUUGGAGCUGUGUGUCCAAAAUGGCAAUGAAGAUCUGGAGAAAGGUGCUUCUCUGUAGAAAGCUGUGUCUUGGUAAUUCAUGGAAAUGUUGAAAAAAAAAAUGGAACACAAAAGUCAAACUUGAUUUAAUCGAUUUGAGAGGAAUUGAAGGUGCCACAUCAGUCCAGGGAAAAGGAACUGCACUGCGGACUUUGAAGAGCCUGACUUUACACACUCCCAGGGCCCCUGGCUGGGGCUGUGCCACACAAAGGAAGAAAGGAGGAAAAGAGAGGCCAUGAAGUUACCUUGGGUUUUGAGUACUCUGUGGGCAGGUCUUGAGCUGGCAAUGGGAGCCACUUAGAUAAGAAAUUGUACAAAGUUACAGCACAUUUUUAUAUUGCUCGCUGUGUUAGUUGCUGUCUGUUGGACUCGGACACCGUAGCUUAGGACAAAUAGGAGAUACAAUAGAAAAUGGCUUCCUGGUUUUACGCAUAUUAUGGCUGCAGGAUAAUAAUUGAAGCAAUGGCCUGAUACGUCACAGAGGUGGCUGGGAGUGACGUUAACAAGGCAUUCAUAGCAGAGUUUGAGGGAUGUAACUGGCUGCCCCAUUGGUU
rnacentral:lncRNA from 1 species